AGUGAACGCUGGCGGUAGGCCUAACACAUGCAAGUCGAACGGCAGCACAGUAAGAGCUUGCUCUUACGGGUGGCGAGUGGCGGACGGGUGAGGAAUACAUCGGAAUCUACUUUUUCGUGGGGGAUAACGUAGGGAAACUUACGCUAAUACCGCAUACGACCUACGGGUGAAAGCAGGGGAUCUUCGGACCUUGCGCGAUUGAAUGAGCCGAUGUCGGAUUAGCUAGUUGGCGGGGUAAAGGCCCACCAAGGCGACGAUCCUUAGCUGGUCUGAGAGGAUGAUCAGCCACACUGGAACUGAGACACGGUCCAGACUCCUACGGGAGGCGGCAGUGGGGAAUAUUGGACAAUGGGCGCAAGCCUGAUCCAGCCAUACCGCGUGGGUGAAGAAGGCCUUCGGGUUGUAAAGCCCUUUUGUUGGGAAAGAAAAGCAGCAGGUUAAUACCCCGCUGUUCUGACGGUACCCAAAGAAUAAGCACCGGCUAACUUCGUG
rnacentral:rRNA from 1 species